rnacentral:rRNA from 1 species
UACAGAGGUCCCAAGCGUUGUUCGGAUUUACUGGGCGUAAAGGGGUGCGUAGGCGGCGCGUCAAGUCACUGGUGAAAGUUUGCGGCCCAACCCGUAAAAUUGCCGGCGAUACUGGCGUGCUUGAGUGCGUGAGGGUUGGGGGAACGAGGUGUGGUAGCGGUGAAAUGCGUAGAGAUCACUCGGAAGGCCAGAGCCGAAGGGGCCCAACUGGUACGCAACUGACGCUGAGGCACGAAAGCGUGGGGAGCAAACAGGG